rnacentral:rRNA from 1 species
CCCAGUGCAAUUCGUUGCACUAUCGUUAACUGAAUACAUAGGUUAACGAGGCGAACCGGGGGAACUGAAACAUCUAAGUACCCCGAGGAAAAGAAAUCAACCGAGAUUCCCCCAGUAGCGGCGAGCGAACGGGGAGCAGCCCAGAGUCUGAAUCAGCUUGUGUGUUAGUGGAACGGUCUGGAAAGUCCGACGGUACAGGGUGAUAGUCCCGUACACCAAAAUGCACAGGUUGUGAACUCGAAGAGUAGGGCGGGACACGUGGUAUCCUGUCUGAAUAUGGGGGGACCAUCCUCCAAGGCUAAAUACUCCUGACUGACCGAUAGUGAACCAGUACCGUGAGGGAAAGGCGAAAAGAACCCCGGCGAGGGGAGUGAAAAAGAACCUGAAACCGUGUACGUACAAGCAGUGGGAGCACCUUCGGGUGUGACUGCGUACCUUUUGUAUAAUGGGUCAGCGACUUAUAUUCUGUAGCAAGGUUAACCGUAUAGGGGAGCCGCAGGGAAACCGAGUCUUAACUGGGCGUUAAGUUGCAGGGUAUAGACCCGAAACCCGGUGAUCUAGCCAUGGGCAGGUUGAAGGUUGGGUAACACUAACUGGAGGACCGAACCGACUAAUGUUGAAAAAUUAGCGGAUGACUUGUGGCUGGGGGUGAAAGGCCAAUCAAACCGGGAGAUAGCUGGUUCUCCCCGAAAGCUAUUUAGGUAGCGCCUCGUGAACUCAUCUUCGGGGGUAGAGCACUGUUUCGGCUAGGGGGUCAUCCCGACUUACCAACCCGAUGCAAACUACGAAUACCGAAGAAUGUUAUCACGGGAGACACACGGCGGGUGCUAACGUCCGUCGUGAAGAGGGAAACAACCCAGACCGCCAGCUAAGGUCCCAAAGUCACAGUUAAGUGGGAAACGAUGUGGGAAGGCACAGACAGCCAGGAUGUUGGCUUAGAAGCAGCCAUCAUUUAAAGAAAGCGUAAUAGCUCACUGGUCGAGUCGGCCUGCGCGGAAGAUGUAACGGGGCUAAACUGUGCACCGAAGCUGCGGCAGCGACACUUAGGUGUUGUUGGGUAGGGGAGCGUUCUGUAAGCCUGCGAAGGUGGCCUGUGAGGGUUGCUGGAGGUAUCAGAAGUGCGAAUGCUGACAUAAGUAACGAUAAUGCGGGUGAAAAGCCCGCACGCCGGAAGACCAAGGGUUCCUGUCCAACGUUAAUCGGGGCAGGGUGAGUCGACCCCUAAGGCGAGGCCGAAAGGCGUAGUCGAUGGGAAACAGGUUAAUAUUCCUGUACUUGGUGUUACUGCGAAGGGGGGACGGAGAAGGCUAUGUUAGCCGGGCGACGGUUGUCCCGGUUUAAGCAUGUAGGCGGAGGUUCCAGGUAAAUCCGGUACCUUUUUAACGCUGAGGUGUGAUGACGAGGCACUACGGUGCUGAAGUAACAAAUGCCCUGCUUCCAGGAAAAGCCUCUAAGCAUCAGGUAACAUUAAAUCGUACCCCAAACCGACACAGGUGGUCAGGUAGAGAAUACCAAGGCGCUUGAGAGAACUCGGGUGAAGGAACUAGGCAAAAUGGUGCCGUAACUUCGGGAGAAGGCACGCUGAUAUGUAGGUGAAGUCCCUGCGGAUGGAGCUGAAAUCAGUCGAAGAUACCAGCUGGCUGCAACUGUUUAUUAAAAACACAGCACUGUGCAAACACGAAAGUGGACGUAUACGGUGUGACGCCUGCCCGGUGCCGGAAGGUUAAUUGAUGGGGUUAUCCGUAAGGAGAAGCUCUUGAUCGAAGCCCCGGUAAACGGCGGCCGUAACUAUAACGGUCCUAAGGUAGCGAAAUUCCUUGUCGGGUAAGUUCCGACCUGCACGAAUGGCGUAAUGAUGGCCAGGCUGUCUCCACCCGAGACUCAGUGAAAUUGAACUCGCUGUGAAGAUGCAGUGUACCCGCGGCAAGACGGAAAGACCCCGUGAACCUUUACUAUAGCUUGACACUGAACAUUGAGCCUUGAUGUGUAGGAUAGGUGGGAGGCUUUGAAGCGUGGACGCCAGUCUGCGUGGAGCCAACCUUGAAAUACCACCCUUUAAUGUUUGAUGUUCUAACGUUGGCCCCUUAUCGGGGUUGCGGACAGUGUCUGGUGGGUAGUUUGACUGGGGCGGUCUCCUCCCAAAGAGUAACGGAGGAGCACGAAGGUUAGCUAAUCCUGGUCGGACAUCAGGAGGUUAGUGCAAUGGCAUAAGCUAGCUUGACUGCGAGCGUGACGGCGCGAGCAGGUGCGAAAGCAGGUCAUAGUGAUCCGGUGGUUCUGAAUGGAAGGGCCAUCGCUCAACGGAUAAAAGGUACUCCGGGGAUAACAGGCUGAUACCGCCCAAGAGUUCAUAUCGACGGCGGUGUUUGGCACCUCGAUGUCGGCUCAUCACAUCCUGGGGCUGAAGUAGGUCCCAAGGGUAUGGCUGUUCGCCAUUUAAAGUGGUACGCGAGCUGGGUUUAGAACGUCGUGAGACAGUUCGGUCCCUAUCUGCCGUGGGCGCUGGAGAAUUGAGGGGGGCUGCUCCUAGUACGAGAGGACCGGAGUGGACGCAUCACUGGUGUUCGGGUUGUCAUGCCAAUGGCAUUGCCCGGUAGCUAAAUGCGGAAGAGAUAAGUGCUGAAAGCAUCUAAGCACGAAACUUGCCCCGAGAUGAGUUCUCCCUGAGUCCUUGAGAGUCCUGAAGGAACGUUAAAGACGAUGACGUUGAUAGGUCGGGUGUGUAAGCGUAGCGAUACGUUGAGCUAACCGAUACUAAUGAACCGUGAGGCUUAACCUU